rnacentral:rRNA from 1 species
CAAUGGGCGCAAGCCUGAUGGAGCAACACCGCGUGAGUGAAGAAGGGUUUCGGCUCGUAAAGCUCUGUUGUUAAAGAAGAACACGUAUGAGAGUAACUGUUCAUACGUUGACGGUAUUUAACCAGAAAGUCACGGCUAACUACGUGCCAGCAGCCGCGGUAAUACGUAGGUGGCAAGCGUUAUCCGGAUUUAUUGGGCGUAAAGAGAGUGCAGGCGGCGUUUCUAAGUCUGAUGUGAAAGCCUUCGGCUUAACCGGAGAAGUGCAUCGGAAACUGGAUAACUUGAGUGCAGAAGAGGGUAGUGGAACUCCAUGUGUAGCGGUGGAAUGCGUAGAUAUAUGGAAGAACACCAGUGGCGAAGGCGGCUACCUGGUCUGCAACUGACGCUGAGACUCGAAAGCAUGGGUAGCGAACAGGAUUAGAUACCCUGGUAG